GACCUGCUCCCUUCCUUCUCCCAGUGCCCAUGUGAAUCAUCUUGGGCUGUCAUGGAUAACAUAUUAUACCAAGAAGAAAAAUAACCCUCGGCAGCAGGAGUGGGAUUCUAGAAAGAAAGGAUAGAGCAAGUGUGUAUGAGAGAGAAUGGGGGAG